UACGAAGGGGGCUAGCGUUGCUCGGAAUCACUGGGCGUAAAGGGUGCGUAGGCGGGUCUUUAAGUCAGGGUGAAUCCUGGAGCUCAACUCCAGAACUGCCUUUGAUACUGAGGAUCUUGAGUUCGGGAGAGGUGAGUGGAACUGCGAGUGUAGAGGUGAAAUUCGUAGAUAUUCGCAAGAACACCAGUGGCGAAGGCGCUCACUGGCCCGUAACUGACGCUGAGGCACGAAAGCGUGGGGAGC
rnacentral:rRNA from 1 species